rnacentral:rRNA from 1 species
GUGGGGAAUCUUGCGCAAUGGGCGAAAGCCUGACGCAGCCAUGCCGCGUGAAUGAUGAAGGUCUUAGGAUUGUAAAAUUCUUUCACCGGGGACGAUAAUGACGGUACCCGGAGAAGAAGCCCCGGCUAACUUCGUGGCAGCAGCCGCGGUAAUACGAAGGGGGCUAGCGUUGCUCGGAAUUACUGGGCGUAAAGGGCGCGUAGGCGGACAGUUUAGUCAGAGGUGAAAGCCCAGGGCUCAACCUUGGAAUUGCCUUCGAUACUGGCUGUCUUGAGUACGGGAGAGGUGAGUGGAACUCCGAGUGUAGAGGUGAAAUUCGUAGAUAUUCGGAAGAACACCAGUGGCGAAGGCGACUCACUGGCCCGUUACUGACGCUGAGGCGCGAAAGCGUGGGGAGCAAACAGGAUUAGAAACCCUGGUAGUCC